UUUUAAAAUUAGGAAAUUUCGUAAAAAUUUGAAUGCAAUUAAGCAAAGGACAUUUGAAAUAGUUAUUUUCAGGAAGUUUAUGCACAUUUUCAGUGUGCUUCAAAUGUAAAACUAGCGAACAAGAAUUAUAAUCGCAACCAGAUAAAUAGCUACCAUGCGGUGGAUCUAAUCCAUACACGAAUUUCUCUAUGAAAUUCCAAACCAAUUUGGAAAGGCUCGAGACCGGUAAACCUAGCACUAUCUGUAGCUUCAAUUGUACGUCAAGCCCACGCUUAAUAGUAGGCAACUCAUACUCGAGGUUUUUGUAAAUAACGUAGCAUUGCCCCGUAACGGUUUCCAAAGAUUCACCUAUUACUACCAAUUUUGGAGAAGCAGGUAGCUUUAGAUUCUCCAAUAUUUGCAGUGUAUCAUGGAGUUUUGUUCGGCCUGAAUCUCUGCUAUUAGCCAACAGGAAAGUAUCCGAUUGUGCAACCGAUAUUGUUGGUUUGAAUCCCUUUGAUGCCUUAACAGGAAUAAGCACUGUACUCAAAGCAUGGAGAAGAUGAAGCAAACGUAUGUCUGUAAAAUAUAAAUGUGGAAGAAUACUAGCAUUACAUAAAUUGAUGAAUAUACGAGAAAAAUUUCUUACCGGAAGAAUAACUGGCAUCUCUUAAACCUUGCAACAAGCGCUUUGACGAUGGAUCUUUUGCAUUCUUAUUCACAUACUGUGCAACUGGCUCGAAAAUAGUAUCCCACUUUUUAAAACAUUCACUUGGAUCACCCAAACCAAGGUUUCGAUAAUCAAUGUCCAACUAAAAGUAAUCGUUUUAUUUUUGUAA